rnacentral:rRNA from 1 species
AGAGCGAACGCUGGCGGCAGGCCUAACACAUGCAAGUCGAGCGCCCGUAGCAAUACGGGAGCGGCAGACGGGAUAGUAACACGUGGGAACGCGCCCUUCGGUUCGGAAUAACUCAGGGAAACUUGAGCUAAUACCGAAUACGCCCUUACGGGGAAAGAUUUAUUGCCGAAGGAACGGCCCGCGUCCGAUUAGCUAGUUGGUGAGGUAAUGGCUCACCAAGGCUACGAUCGGUAGCUGGUCUGAGAGGAUGACCAGCAUCACUGGGACUGAGACACGGCCCAGACUCCUACGGGAGGCAGCAGUGGGGAUAUUGGACAAUGGGCGCAAGCCUGAUCCAGCCAUGCCGCGUGGAUGAUGAAGGCCUUAGGGUUGUAAAGUCCUUUUAACGGGGAAGAUAAUGACGGUACCCGUAGAAUAAGCCCCGGCUAACUUCGCGCCAGCAGCCGC